rnacentral:rRNA from 1 species
AACGAACGCUGGCGGCAUGCCUAACACAUGCAAGUCGAACGAGACCUUCGGGUCUAGUGGCGCACGGGUGCGUAACGCGUGGGAACCUGCCCUUAGGUUCGGAAUAACUCCCCGAAAGGGGUGCUAAUACCGGAUAAUGUCUUCGGACCAAAGAUUUAUCGCCUUUGGAUGGGCCCGCGUUGGAUUAGCUAGUUGGUAGGGUAAAAGCCUCCCAAGGCGACGAUCCAUAGCUGGUCUGAGAGGAUGAUCAGCCACACUGGGACUGAGACACGGCCCAGACUCCUACGGGAGGCAGCAGUGGGGAAUAUUGGACAAUGGGCGAAAGCCUGAUCCAGCAAUGCCGCGUGAGUGAUGAAGGCCUUAGGGUUGUAAAGCUCUUUUACCCGGGAUGAUAAUGACAGUACCGGGAGAAUAAGCUCCGGCUAACUCCGUG